UUGAAUUACCCCACUUUUUAAGGUAAGGCGUUUGAUCCGCCUGGCCUCAGUGUUUCGAUUGAGGCCGCUUUUUAUUUUUUGCCCUUUCACCUACAAGGGUAUAUAGCAAAAAUUUAAAUUUAAAAGGCCGUUACAGCAGCAGGGGCGGGGGAUUAAAAUUAUCUUAAAACUAGAUUAAUACUAAAUAAAAAAUAUACAAUAAGACAUUAGAUUAACAUUUAGUUUUUAGCGAAAACCGCUGCUUGAGGACCAGGACCUGCUGCUGCUGAUGACUAUAAUUUGCAGGUAAGUUUGUGUGAAUUUUAGGUGAUUUUUCUAACGAUUUGUGUUUUUUUCCAGGUGCAGGCGCUAGCAGAGGACGAGAUGGCCCAGAUGAUUGCCAAGAUGCUGCACGAGGACUCGCAGGCGGUGCUGCUGCUGGCUGACAUGGAUUAACGGAUGGACGAGCUGCAGACGGACUAGCUUGACGAGAUGCUGGACGACGUAGAUGAGACGAUGCAUACGACGCUGUACAAGGAGCUGCUGUUUGCUGUAGUGUAUUUUCAGGUACUUGUGCAUUAGACGAGCGGAAAUCUGGACAGGACAACUGGCGAGGUGGUGCAGAU